AUUCCCAUGCUUAUAAUAGCUGCCAUCGAUUGGUCACUUCUCUGCUCGGUAUCUGAGGGCGCUGCUCGCCUGUCAAAAAUUUUACAUGUGAAAGCAACAACAAAGUUAUCUAGUUGAAUUCGUGCAGGAGAGUAUGCCAAUACCUCAUUAAAAAUUCUUUCGCCGCGUGCUGAGUGCUACCAAGUUUUGUUUUACACAUUUUAGAAUCAUUUAACUAAUGUGAACGGCUCGAAAGGACAAAUUACUGUCAAAAUAAUAAAAAUUGUUAUACUCAAAUUUGAAAUUGAAAAUGGCAGGCGAAGACAAAUCAAAACGUAAGACAUUGACGGUGGUAGAAGAGUUCAGUGCGACCAAGUAUAGGCAAUUCGAUUUCAAUGCAUGUCAGUUCGUGUGAAAAGUUGGAAAGUUUGUUCGAUUGGCUUGUCUAUAGCAGUUAUCCAAUCGAUGACAGCUAAUAUUGGUGGAUAAUCGCCACAUGGUGUAACAAGUGUAGCAGCAACAACAAAUAAUACAUUUUCUAAUUCAAAACAAAAGUCAAAAUCGCACAACGUAACCGGCAAAUAACAAGGCAUCGUAUGAUGUACAACAAAUUACAUCGGCUUUUGGAGUAGCAGUUUCACUACUUAUUUUCGACGUGCUAAACCCUUGCAUCUACACAAUGGAUAGUUAACAUAAUAACAGAGCUCGACAAAAA